UCCAGUAUAAUCAAACCUUAUUUGCUACUUCAUUUGCAAAUGAUACCCCACUAUGGCUCAGAUGAGAAAGAACCUGCCUGCUAUGCAGGAAAUGCAGAUUUGACCCCUGGGUCAGGAAGAUCCCCUGGAGAAGGGAAUGACUACCCACUGCAGUAUUCUUGCUUGGAGAAUUGUGUGAACAGAGUAGCCUAGCAGGCUACAGUCCAUGGGGUGUCAAAGAGUCAGACUCCACUGGGAGACUAACACUUUCACCUCACCACUCCUUGAAAUUUUAGUUGACUUGGUUGUUUUGAAUAUUUUCAAUAGAUUUUAAUUUUAUACAGAGAAAUCCAUGGUUCUGUGCCUUUUGUGCUAUGAGGGUUCUAUUGUUCAAAUACUAAACAAAUUGUGUUCUGUAUAUAUAUUGUUUUUUGUUAACAACACAGUAGGUAGGCCUGAUGAAAAUAAGCCUGGCUAUAGAAAUGCUUAUUUGUUGGGAGGGUGCUUGUCUGGAUCAAUGAUGAGAAAAAUUGUCUGAGGAUGCUGAGGGACUCAUUCCAGAUGUCAAUCUGAGGUCCAGAUGAAUGCACCUCUAAUCAGACAAAUAAGAACCUCAUAGCUUGGCUUUGACUACAUAACACUGCUGUGAGCAUGCCUUUUCUUUCUUCCAGAGCAAGUCAUCCUAUUCUACAUUUUCAUGCCUCUUAUGAGGCAUGUAGAUAUGCUAAGUGACUUGCUUCAUUUUGGUCAUUUCGAACACAGUUGUAGAUAGAACUUUUUAAAGGAAUUGUUCUUGAGAAAUAAAUGGCGGGUGGGGGGGUGGCAAAUGUUGAAGUAGAAGUGGUUGAACAACUGUAAUGGGUACUGAAAGCAUCAUUUGUGGUUGAGCUGGAAGAAGGGAAGAUUGCAUGACUAUAAUAAAUUUUGACAAUGAAAUUUGACAGUAUUAGUGCUUUGUUAUUUUUAUUGUUGAAUAUUUUUGAGACUAUGUCUUUUUUUUCUUUUUGUUUGUUUUUGUUUUUUUCUGCUACACUUUUCUGAGGUAGAAGGACUGAAAUGAGGGCCUCUACUUCAGAGAAUAUGGGACGUGUCCGGAUCAAAGCCAUCUGCAGGGGUUUCAUGAAGUGCCACCUUUAUGACCUGACAGUCAGCCGGCUGAUUACCCUCACAGGAGAUCGUGCACUAGAUCCUGUCCAGUAGACCAGGCCUAGGCCCAUUCAGCCCAGGGAGCUCUUGGCUUGAAAAGGUGAAGUUGCCCGAUAUGACUGUCCGUCACCCGGGAGAUGAAGCCCCGCCCGUGAGACAGUGACUCGAGGUGCAGGGGAGUCUGGUGAGAAGUGUGGUGGGCCCACGUUCCUGCCACUGCUUUUGUGAUCACCGAACAUGGUACGCCGUUGCCUGCCCCAAGACAUGUCUUGGAUUUCAGGUUUUCUGGGACUGCCUGAGUGGCUGUACAUAUGGAGGGACCAUUCCUCUUGCUGAGAAGCCUGGGGGCUCUGAGUUCCCCCAGCUGCUGGAGGACU